GACGAACGCUGGCGGCGUGCUUAACACAUGCAAGUCGAACGGAAAGGCCCUGCUUUUGUGGGGUGCUCGAGUGGCGAACGGGUGAGUAACACGUGAGUAACCUGCCCUUGACUUUGGGAUAACUUCAGGAAACUGGGGCUAAUACCGGAUAGGAGCUCCUGCUGCAUGGUGGGGGUUGGAAAGUUUCGGCGGUUGGGGAUGGACUCGCGGCUUAUCAGCUUGUUGGUGGGGUAGUGGCUUACCAAGGCUUUGACGGGUAGCCGGCCUGAGAGGGUGACCGGCCACAUUGGGACUGAGAUACGGCCCAGACUCCUACGGGUGGCAGCAGUGGGGAAUAUUGCACAAUGGGCGGAAGCCUGAUGCAGCAACGCCGCGUGCGGGAUGACGGCCUUCGGGUUGUAAACCGCUUUCGCCUGUGACGAAGCGUGAGUGACGGUAAUGGGUAAAGAAGCACCGGCUAACUACGUG
rnacentral:rRNA from 1 species